rnacentral:lncRNA from 1 species
GGGGAAGCUACUUAUGUGUCUGCAAUCCUGGGUUUGAGACACCUGAUGGGGGAACUCAAUUUACUGACUCCGGAGGAACUUGCAUAAGAAUCAACCCUAGGUCCCCUAUUCCAACCCAAGUUACAUUUUCCGAAGACUAUAAACAACAGGACACCACCAAGGACCCAAAUAACGACAAGAGGAUUAACUCUGUUUCCAUGGUGACAAAAGGAGUACCAGAAGAUAACAAUGUCACACUUGUGUUACAGGAAAUAGCCGAUUCUUUUGGCAACUUCAGCAACAUCACCACCAAGCCAUCUCAGGAACAUAAGGAAGAAACCGCCCGUUUUGCGACACAGUAUCUUGACAGAGUGCAGUCGGCAGCCUAUGAAGCUGCCCUCAAUCGACCCACAGGANNNNNNNUGAGGAGAGAGUCACAAUUUAUGGUUAUUGAAGCGCUGACCAUCAAGAAUGGUUGCAAAACAGAAAAUGAUAUAGUUAAAUUACAGAUUGAAAAGGAAACAAUGGACAUCGAUUGCACUGUUGUCACUGGAGGAGGAACUGGAGAUGAUAGGGGAAAGCAAAAAGUCUCUUUGUGUCUACUGGGAUGAGCUGGUCUGGUCUAAUGAAGGGUGCCACGUGACCUUUUCUGACGGAGCUCGAACUG